rnacentral:rRNA from 1 species
CAAUAGCGUAUAUUCAAGUUGUUGCAGUUAAAAAGCUCGUAGUUGGAUUUCUGGUGGGAGCGAUCGGUCUGGCGCUUAGCGCGAGUACUUGCAUCGUCUCCGGCCAUCCUUGGGGAGAGUCUGUCUGGCAUUAAGUUGUCGGGCAGAGGAUCCUCAUCGUUUACUGUGAAAAAAUUAGAGUGUUCAAAGCAGGCUUAUGCCGUUGAAUAUAUUAGCAUGGAAUAAUAAGAUAGGACUUUGGUACUAUUUUGUUGGUUUGCGCACCAAAGUAAUGAUUAAUAGGGACAGUUGGGGGUAUUCGUAUUCCGUUGUCAGAGGUGAAAUUCUUGGAUUUACGGAAGACGAACUACUGCGAAAGCAUUUACCAAGGAUGUUUUCAUUAA